rnacentral:rRNA from 1 species
CUUGAACGCUGUCGGCAUGGCUAAAACAUGCAAGUCGAGGGAGAAACUCACUUCGGUGGGUGGAAACCGGCGGAAGGGCGAGGAAUACGAUCGAACGUACCCCGAGGUGGGGGAUAGCGUCGGGAAACCGGCGGUAAUACCCCAUGUGCUCCCCGGAGGAAAGCUACGGCGCCUUGGGAGCGGCGAUCGUCCUAUCAGGUUGUUGGUGAGGUAACGGCUCACCAAGCCUCAGACGGGUAGCGGGUGUGAGAGCACGACCCGCCGCAUCGGGACUGAGACACUGCCCGGACUCCUACGGGAGGCUGCAGUAACGAAUCUUCCGCAAUGCACGAAAGUGUGACGGAGCAAUGCCGAGUGUGGGAUGAAGCGGUUUUGCCGUGUAAACCACUGUCAGGACCUAGGAAGAACUGACCAGGUCCAAAGGAAGGGCCGGCUAAUCUCAUGCCAGCAGCCGCGGUAAUACGAGAGGCCCGAGCGUUAGGCGGAAUCACUGGGCUUAAAGCGUGCGUAGGCGGAUGCGCAAGCGUCUUGUGAAAGCCCUCAGCUCAACUGAGGAAUUGCAGGGCGAACUGCGUGUCUGAG